GUGGGGAAUAUUGGGCAAUGGGGGCAACCCUGACCCAGCGACGCCGCGUGAGGGAAGAAGGCCUUAGGGUCGUAAACCUCUGUUGUGUGGGAAGAAGGAAGUGACGGUACCACACGAGGAAGUCCCGGCUAACUACGUGCCAGCAGCCGCGGUAAUACGUAGGGGACGAGCGUUGUCCGGAAUUACUGGGCGUAAAGGGCGCGUAGGCGGUCAUUUAAGUCAGCUGUGAAAUGGUCCGGCUCAACCGGAUCAUGCGGUUGAAACUGGAUGACUGGAGUGCUGGAGAGGCAAGGAGAAUUCCCAGUGUAGCGGUGAAAUGCGUAGAUAUUGGGAAGAACACCGGUGGCGAAGGCGACUUGCUGGCCAGCAACUGACGCUGAGGCGCGAAAGCCAGGGGAGCAAACGGGAUUAGAAACCCUAGUAGUCC
rnacentral:rRNA from 1 species